AUAGCGCAUAGUACCGUGAGGGAAAGGUGAAAAGAACCCCGGGAGGGGAGUGAAAGAGAACCUGAAACCAUAUGCCUACAAGAAGUCAGAGCCCGUUAAAGGGUGAUGGCGUGCCUUUUGUAGAAUGAACCGGCGAGUUACUGUAUGGAGCGAGGUUAAGCAGGAUAUGCGGAGCCGAAGCGAAAGCGAGUCUUAAGAGGGCGAAAGUUGCAUGCAGUAGACCCGAAACCGGGUGAUCUAGCCAUGACCAGGUUGAAGUUGGGGUAAAACCCGAUGGAGGACCGAACCGACCCCCGUUGAAACGUUGGCGGAUGAGUUGUGGCUAGGGGUGAAAUUCCAAUCGAACCCGGAGAUAGCUGGUUCUCCCCGAAAUAGCUUUAGGGCUAGCGUCGAGAGAAGAGUUGCGUGAAGGUAGAGCACUGAAUAUGUGAUGGCCCCAUCUCGGGGUACUGAGCAUAAUCAAACUGCGAAUGUCACGGAAACAUACUCGGCAGUCAGACAGCGGGUGAUAAGGUCCGUUGUCAAGAGGGAAACAGCCCAGACCAUCAGCUAAGGUCCCAAAAUGUAUGCUAAGUGGAAAAGGAUGUGGAGAUGUACAGACAACUAGGAGGUUGGCUCAGAAGCAGCCAUCCUUUAAAGAGUGCGUAACAGCUCACUAGUCGAAUGACUCUGCGCCGAUAAUUUACCGGGGCUAAGCAUACUACCGAAGCUAUGGAUCCCAAGGGAUGGUAGGGGAGCGUUCCAUGAACGGAGAAGCGCGAUCGAGAGGACGCGUGGAGAUCAUGGAAGAGAGAAUGCCGGUGUGAGUAGCGGAACGUGGGUGAGAAUCCCACGCACCGAAAACCCAAGGUUUCCAGAGGAAGGUUCGUCCGCUCUGGGUAAGUCGGGACCUAAGGCGAGGCCGAGAGGCGUAGUCGAUGGACAACAGGUAGAGAUUCCUGUACUCAUAUAUAUGUGAAGGAAUGACGGAGAGAGGAAGCUGCAGCCAGCGGCUGGAAGAGCUGGUGCAAGCGAGAUAUCGGGAUGGCAGGCAAAUCCACCAUCCGAAACGAGAAGGCGUGAAGCGUACGGAAAGCUACGGCGAGUACGGAAGGCAGUGGAGGAACUUCCAAGAAAAGUUUCUAACGUUAAGUAUAUAUGGCCCGUACCGAAAAUGGACACACAUGGGUGAGGAGAGAAUCCUAAGGUGAGCGAGAGAACUAUAGCUAAGGAACUCUGCAAAAUGACUCCGUAACUUAGGGAGAAGGAGUGCUCAUAGAGAUAUGAGCCGCAGUGAAACGGCCCAAGCGACUGUUUACCAAAAACACAGCUCUAUGCUAAGUCGAAAGACGACGUAUAUGGGGUGACGCCUGCCCGGUGCUGGAAGGUUAAGAGGAUGUGUCAGCGCAAGCGAAGCACUGAAUUGAAGCCCCAGUAAACGGCGGCCGUAACUAUAACGGUCCUAAGGUAGCGAAAUUCCUUGUCAGGU
rnacentral:rRNA from 1 species